rnacentral:rRNA from 1 species
AAACGAACGCUGGCGGCAGGCUAACACAUGCAAGUCGAACGGGAUCUUCGGAUCUAGUGGCGGACGGGUUAGUAACGCGAACGUACCCUUUUCUACGGAAUAGCCUCGGGAAACUGAGAGUAUACCGUAUACGCCCUUCGGGGGAAAGAUUUAUCGGAGAAGGAUCGGCCCGCGUAAGAUUAGAUAGUUGGUGGGUGUAAUGGCCUACCAAGUCUACGAUCUUUAGCUGGUUUGAGAGGAUGAUCAGCAACACUGGGACUGAGACACGGCCCAGACUCCUACGGGAGGCAGCAGUGGGGAAUCUUAGACAAUGGGGGAAACCCUGAUCUAGCCAUGCCGCGUGAGUGACGAAGUGCCUUAGGGUCGUAAAGCUCUUUCGCUGGGGAAGAUAAUGACUGUACCCAGUAAAGAAACCCCGGCUAACUCCGUGCCAGCAGCCGCGGUAAUACGGAGGGGGUUAGCGUUGUCCGGAAUUACUGGGCGUAAAAGCGCGCGUAGGCGGACUGGAAAGUUGGGACGUGAAAUCCCGGGGCUCAACCCCGGAACGGCUCCAAAACUAUCAGUCUAGGAGUUCAGAGAGAGGUGAGUGGGAAUUCCGAAUGUUAGAGGUGAAAUUCGUAGAUCUUCCGGAGGAACAACCACUUGGGACGAAAGGGCGGCUCCACUUGGGCCUCGAAUACUGAACGGCUGAACGUUGCUGACAAAAGACGUUGGGGAAGCAAACAGGAUUAGAUUGACCCUGGUUAGAUCCCACGGCCGGUAAACAGACUAAAUGCCAGGUCGUCAGAGGCCUCCCUUUGGUCCACACCUAGAUAAGCUCCGCUAGAAUACAGC